GACGAUCGCUGGCGGCGUGCUUAACACAUGCAAGUCGAACGGAAAGGCCCUGCUUUUGUGGGGUGCUCGAGUGGCGAACGGGUGAGUAACACGUGAGUAACCUGCCCUUGACUUUGGGAUAACUUCAGGAAACUGGGGCUAAUACCGGAUAGGAGCUCCUGCUGCAUGGUGGGGGUUGGAAAGUUUCGGCGGUUGGGGAUGGACUCGCGGCUUAUCAGCUUGUUGGUGGGGUAGUGGCUUACCAAGGCUUUGACGGGUAGCCGGCCUGAGAGGGUGACCGGCCACAUUGGGACUGAGAUACGGCCCAGACUCCUACGGGAGGCAGCAGUGGGGAAUAUUGCACAAUGGGCGGAAGCCUGAUGCAGCAACGCCGCGUGCGGGAUGACGGCCUUCGGGUUGUAAACCGCUUUCGCCUGUGACGAAGCGUGAGUGACGGUAAUGGGUAAAGAAGCACCGGCUAACUACGU
rnacentral:rRNA from 1 species